AGGCUCAGCUAAGAGACACAAUGUCCCCACAACAACGGCCGAACGAAGGAGAGGGAACCGAGCAGAGCUGUGACUGUGGGAGGGAGGCCAAAUUGUUUGUCUCUCCCCAUGUCAAGGCUCUGCAGCGGGGACGAGGCCAUGAGAACAACUGCUCCCUGUCUGGUUUCUGGCUGAUGGCUCCAUCAGGGUAGAGCAACAGGGAGCCUGACACUGGAACAGGCAAGAUGGCACCAAACCUGGCAACCUCACUGUGAUGAAAAGACUCCAGGAAGCUGAACAGUCGCUGCACCCAGCUGCUAGCUUCAGCCUUAAACAUUUUCAACAUUUUAUCUGUUGUGUAUAGAUUUAAAAAAAAAAGAGGGGUGUCAAGAUUUUAAUUCUAAAUUCAAGAUCAUUUAAAAAACAGCUUUCAAUUUCACUUAUCAAAUUCAAAAGAAUUGGUGAUUCAGACCACAUACCUACUUUUUAAUAAAGAAUUUGAAAACGCAAAUGACAGUUGUCUGGGCAUAAAAUGUUCUGAUGACCUUUAUGUAUCAAAAGAAAAAAAAAUGUUUCCUUUGAACACUGAAGGAAUUGUGAGCUUGAAAUGAAAAGGCUAAUGGACAUCCCAAUUAACAAACAAGACAACGUUCAUUAGUGAGCUUUGGAGCUUUUUUCUCCUUCUUUAUGCUAAGCUAGGCUAAUGAGUGCAGUCAUGAUUAAAAUCUAUCUUCUCUCAAGCAAAUGAGGGCUAUCCCAUAUUUGGUACUCUUUCUUCAACCAUGCUUUAGUUGUUAGGUGAAACUAUUGUAGAAAAAACAGUUUUUGCCGAUUGUUCAGUAUGAAUGUUUCACUCAUUCACUACUCCUUACUCACAGGGCUAUAAAGUGAGUUCAUCAGCAAAAUGAACACUUUCCAGACUCUACUAGGCUCAAUUUCUCGCUGCUGGUAAUUAUAACAUUGCUGUUGCACAAUUAAAACGUACCACACCAAUGUCAGCUGGUGGAUCAUACAUAAUAAAUACUGAAAAUAUUUUGUGAUGAAUACAUAAUGAGCAUAUUUUCCCAAAUUAAGGAAUGCAAAAUACUUUGUAGCCUGUAGAUUGUUUUUGUUGUGAUGUGUUGCUCUGCUCAAAUUAAACAUGCUAUUUUCUCACCACAACCCAGAUUCGUCUAAGAUCUCUGUAGAAAUUCCAACAAGUGGUGAACAGCGAGUUAUACGGCAGGAUAUUCAAUGCCAACAGAAUGAAUUCAGGGAUCCUCAGACCAGGAAGUAUUUACAGUCAUGGUACAAACAUUAAACACAUAAACAUAACAACUAUGGUGAAUUUCUAAUGGAAACAAGAAAAAAAGCAUAAA